UACGUAGGGUGCAAGCGUUAAUCGGAAUUACUGGGCGUAAAGCGUGCGCAGGCGGUUCGUUGUGUCUGUCGUGAAAGCCCCGGGCUCAACCUGGGAAUGGCGAUGGAAACUGGCGGACUGGAGUGUGGCAGAGGGGGGGUGGAAUUCCGCGUGUAGCAGUGAAAUGCGUAGAGAUGCGGAGGAACACCGAUGGCGAAGGCAGCCCCCUGGGCUGACACUGACGCUCAGGCACGAAAGCGUGGGGAGCAAACAGG
rnacentral:rRNA from 1 species